CCUUAGCGGAGGAAAAGAAACCAACUGGGAUUACCUUAGUAACGGCGAGUGAAGCGGUAAAAGCUCAAAUUUGAAAUCUGGUACUUUCAGUGCCCGAGUUGUAAUUUGUAGAAUUUGUCUUUGAUUAGGUCCUUGUCUAUGUUCCUUGGAACAGGACGUCAUAGAGGGUGAGAAUCCCGUUUGGCGAGGAUACCUUUUCUCUGUAAGACUUUUUCGAAGAGUCGAGUUGUUUGGGAAUGCAGCUCAAAGUGGGUGGUAAAUUCCAUCUAAAGCUAAAUAUUGGCGAGAGACCGAUAGCGAACAAGUACAGUGAUGGAAAGAUGAAAAGAACUUUGAAAAGAGAGUGAAAAAGUACGUGAAAUUGUUGAAAGGGAAGGGCAUUUGAUCAGACAUGGUGUUUUUUGCAUGCACUCGCCUCUCGUGGGCUUGGGCCUCUCAAAAAUUUCACUGGGCCAACAUCAAUUCUGGCAGCAGGAUAAAUCAUUAAGAAUGUAGCUACUUCGGUAGUGUUAUAGCUUUUUGGAAUACUGUUAGCCGGGAUUGAGGACUGCGCUUCGGCAAGGAUGUUGGCAUAAUGGUUAAAUGCCGCCCGUCUU
rnacentral:rRNA from 1 species